UACGUAGGGCGCAAGCGUUAUCCUGAAUUAUUGGGCGUAAAGAGCUCGUAGGCGGUUUGUUGCGUCGGCUGUGAAAUCCCGAGGCUCAACCUCGGGUCUGCAGUCGAUACGAGCAAACUAGAGUGUUGCAGGGGAGACUGGAAUUCCUGGUGUAGCGGUGAAAUGCGCAGAUAUCAGGAGGAACACCGGUGGCGAAGGCGGGUCUCUGGGCAACAACUGACGCUGAGGAGCGAAAGCGUGGGGAGCGAACAGG
rnacentral:rRNA from 1 species